UAGGAUUUUAUAAAUAUGGAUAAUAUUAUUUAAAAUUUAUAUGAAUGGUAAAGAAAUGAGAAGAUAUAAUAAUUUUGAAAAAGAAUAUAGUAGGAGGAAAAAUUUAUUAGGUUUUAGGAUUUAUUAUAUAGUUAGUAUUUUAAAUUGUUGGUAUUGUUAGGAGGAUAGAUAUAUAGAUUAAUUGAAUAGAAGAUAGAAUUUAGAA
rnacentral:misc_RNA from 1 species